rnacentral:rRNA from 1 species
AUGAGGCUAGAGGAUGAAGAAAAGACAGCCUUUAAAACACAUCACGGCCACUUUCAAUUCCGAGUGAUGCCAUUUGGAUUAACGAAUGCGCCAACCACAUUUCAGUGCAUUAUGAAUCUCAUCUUUGCUAAAUACCUCCGUAAGUUUGUGAUAGUCUUCCUGGACGAUAUCUUGGUCUACAGUUCAUCUUGGGCAGAGCAUUUAGAGCAUCUGCGUCUGGUGUUUGAAACACUUCGUCAGGCUCAAUUCUUUGCUAAGUUAUCCAAGUGUUCUUUUGGGCAGAACAAUAUUCAGUAUCUUGGCCAUAUUAUCUCUGAUUCCGGUGUUGCAACCGAUCCCGAGAAAACAGUGGUGAUGGAACAGUGGCCAAUUCCUAAGAUAGCAACUGAACUACGAGGAUUCCUUGGCCUAACAGGUUAUUACCAUAAAUUUGUUAAGCAUUAUAGUCUGAUUGCUAAACCACUGUCCUAG